AUGGUACUAUAAUGGUCAUCA
rnacentral:siRNA from 1 species